rnacentral:rRNA from 1 species
UACGUAGGGGGCAAGCGUUGUCCGGAAUCAUUGGGCGUAAAGAGCGUGUAGGCGGCCCGGUAAGUCCGCUGUGAAAGUCCAGGGCUCAACCCUGGGAUGCCGGUGGAUACUGUCGGGCUCGAGUCCGGAAGAGGAGUGUGGAAUUCCUGGUGUAGCGGUGAAAUGCGCAGAUAUCAGGAGGAACACCAAUGGCGAAGGCAGCACUCUGGGACGUGACUGACGCUGAGACGCGAAAAGCGUGGGGAGCAAACAGG